CAGGUAAUAUCAUGUAAAUUCAUUUUCUUCGUUUUGAUUUCAAAUUCAAUUUUAGGGUUGUUUGACAUAAAUUUUAUAUAUUUGAUUGAUAUCUUUAUUUUUGAAGAUUUGUAUGUGACUUUGGUAAUAUUUGAUUUUUGAAAUAAGUAGAGUCACUUAAGAACAAGUAUCUGAUUUCAAGUUGCCUCAUAUAACACUAAGCCGAUGAAUCUAUCUCUCUUGCGAAAAGUCAUUAUGAGAAUACUACGAGAGGUAGCUAGAUUUUGUGAAGGUCCUUUGCUAGAUUGUGCCAGCAAUGUAGAAUAUAUGGAUGAAUAUCUAGGUUAUCCAGAAGGAUAAGUAGUGCAAGUCCCUCGAGCCAUAUGCACAUUCCAGCGCUGCUUGGAGGCAUUUAGAAUUUAUAUUAGUAAGCUACUAAAUAAAAAUUUCUUAUCAUCUCAUCCAAUGAUGAUAGAAACUUUCUAGAUUUCAAUGAUAAUAAAAUAAAUUGUAUGGCUUUGCAGAGUAUGGUAGCAAUAGUAGAAAUGACAGGAGAUCGAGUAGAGGUUAACGUUAAUGAAAAUCGACAAGAAAAAGCAAUCUGGUUCUAUAUACUUGUGGAGUGAUGGGUUCCAUUAGCGCCUCAUGUCAUGUCUUUUAAGCAUUGUAGUUUUUUUGCUUUUGAAGUAGGAAUACGUUAUGUCUUUUUAUGGAAUUUAGCUUUUUUUAUUUUAAACUUGUAAUUUCAAACAGAGUAAACUGUCAUGCC
rnacentral:lncRNA from 1 species